rnacentral:tmRNA from 1 species
GGGGAUGUACUGGUUUUCGACGGGGGAAGGAUUGGUCGGGUAAGCGAGCCGGCGUUCCAUAAGGCCGCUAAACUGUGGAACCUAAAUUGAAAUGACAAAAAUCAAUUAGCUUUAGCUGCUUAAUUGCAGCCUAACCUCCUUCAUCCUGUUCCCGCGAUGGAUGAAUGGGGGUCAAUAGGUCGGGAUACCGUAUCAUUUUUUUCCGAGGAUGAUGCGGGAAAUUUAUCGGAAUGGUCUUGGCGGACUUUGUUUGUGUAAUCCGUUAAGGCGAGAUCGAACACAUUCUGCGCUCGGAGAAAGCCCGGUGGGUUCUCCUUCGGACAGGGGUUCAACUCCCCUCAUCUCCACCA